GGGAAUCAACCAGCCUGCCUGUCUCACACAUUGUUCUCUCUCUCUGAACUUUCAGAAUUUUCCAACUGUACCAACUAUCCCAUAAUUGCAUUGUCUUCUAUCACCCCUACAGAAUCUUGCUUAUGUAGUGGGUAAGGCUGUGUUAACUUGGUUUCCUGUCUGCAAUGCUUGUAUCACCAACUAGAUACAUAGGCCUUGAAUAUAGGCCAGUGUCUUCCCAUCUUGAUGUCUUGCAGAUAUUGUCACAUGGUGAUGUCAAGUUAAGAUGCUAGAGUUUCCAACUGUCAUGUAUCCUGGAAAGGCGCUGCAGUGAAGCAUCAUUAGCUGGUCAGUCAAUAACUUUCAGCAGACAUGAAUUGAGUGCCUACUGCCUGUGAGACACUGUUCACUGCCCUUGUGUGUGUGUUAGAGGGGGUGGUCAGGGAGGGUCUUUCUGAUAGGUGCACCUGUGAGCCGAGACCUGAAUAAAAUAAGAGAAUGGGGUAUGAGGAUAGCUGCAGAAGAGCAGUCAAGGUAGCAAGAACAGCCAGUGCAAAUGCCCUGGGGUUAGAAAGCCAGUGCUGGGCUAUUAACGCCUUCCCUUGAUGGACCUAAGAGAGCCCUUCUUCUCUUUGCACUUAGGAGUCCUCACCAACCCAUUAAAUGAGUCCAUCAGACAAGAUUUCCAAGCUAACAUUUUUGUGACUUUAUGGAAAAACUAUUUUUUUAAUGGAGAAAACACAUUUUACUCCUGCAGCCGAGACACGCACUCCCCUCUCACAUAUUUGACGUCAUUUUUCCCCCACUCCCUUCACUCACACAUACUUCACUUUUCUUUAUUUUAGAAUCAUGCUGAGUAACAUUUUGUGAAUGUGUUUAACACAACCAUAGAGUCAGGGUCAUGCAUUAACAACUGCUCAAGUGGCAUAGGUUAAACAAUGCCAGUGGCACUUGCCCCUCUCCCCUCUGCCCUCAACACACACACUCCUGGGAGUCCUGAGAUCGCUAUACUAGAAGAUUCUAAUGUGGUCACUUCCCUGGGUGACCCAUCUUCAUCUUUUUCAAGAUUGCCUGGUUAUGUGCUAGACAGAGACACCGGGUAAAGUGACCUUUCCACUGAAUCCUGGGAUCCACCAGGUAUUACUAGAAGUUUUUCACCCUGGAUUUUAGAUCGCUCUGUCUUCAGGUAUGAUUUUCUCUAAUCUGGAAUACUCUAUUCAUUUGAAUUACAAAGGGACAUGUGGUUUUGGUUUGUUUACUCUUAGGUCAUGAAAUGAUAAUUUAGCAGUUAAUGGGCAAAGAAAAAGACCUUCUUUUCAUGGCCAGGAACUUUUUGGGAGCCUCCGUUUUUAACAGCAGUAACUUGCUCUACACUGACUCUGAGCUGGCCCACAUCCCUGAAGGUAUGGUCUUAAUGGGAUUAGGGAAACCAUGGCUGACAGGGCUUCCUUGGGAUGACUUCUCAGCACAAAUGUUCUGCCUCCCUGGAUCCAGCCCAGAGACUUGACUUGGGAUAGGAAAAGAGUGAAAGGUGAACGAAAGACCAUAAACCACUUCUCUAUGUUUCCUACAAAUGCUGGGGUGUCUAUUAUUCUGCAUAGUGGGGCGCAUUAAGCAAAUUCUCCUUUUUCAGGAUGACUGAAGCUGAAUUUCUGUUUACUUUUGUUUAUGCAUCUCCGUUAAACCAGGAUCAUAUCCUCAACCCCCAAAGAGGAACAGGCCACCUUUGCCAUCAUGCUCAGCCUGGUCACCAGCCUGAGGCUUUCACAGCCACCCAGAUCUUCCCCUCACCUUUCUCCUGGAGUGUAGAGAUUCCAUAUUCUCUUUCAUCUGGCUCCUGACAUCACUUCUCCGUAUUGACUGUGGGGCUCUUUUUUGGCUUGGAUUUUUCUCUUUGUUAAGGUGAGUAGUUCUUAACCUUUCAGGAGUCAUGGAUUCCUGGACCAUCUCUCACCAAAACUGGCCAUGUAAAAUUUUACAAUUUCAUGGCUUAUGAGGAUUCCUCAAAUCUUUUCUAUGGGCUAUGGAUUCCAGGUUAAGCAGUCCUAAAAUUGGUCUUGCUUUCUUUAUUUACAGACCCUGUGGGACCACAGAAAGCAGAAAAUAGUCAUUCAGGGGAGCUUGCUUCCUGACUUCCUCAGCUGAUGUUGUUGGUUACAUCUGCAACCAUACUGCGAUACGGUGUAGCACUGGCAUCAUGGGUAAGAUUCGUCCCCUUAUGUGAAUAAGUCUAAUGACGGUACUGCUGUUGAUGAUCAAAUAUAUCAAGAAGCUAAGUGAAAGCCUCCUCAGGAUAUAAUACUGAUGGAAAAUGACUGGCCUGAGGAAACACUAGAUUUCAUUAAUCGUCAUCUAAUUGCUAUGUUAAAUAGUUCUGGCCAGGUACGGUGGCUCACACCUGUAAUCUCAGCAUUUUGGGAGGCUGAUGUGGGAGGAUCACUUGAACCCAGGAGUUUGAGAGACCAGCCUGGGCAAUAUAAUGAGAUCCUGUCUCUACAAAAACUAAAAGCUGAAAAAUAAAAUUAGUCAGGUAUGGUGGUGUGCACCUGUACUUCCAGCUACUUAGGAGGCUGAGGAGAGAGGAUCACUUGAGCUUGAGCUCGGGAGAUCAAGGCUACAGUGAGCUGUGAUCACACCACUGCACUCCAGCCUGGGCAACAGAGAUCCUGUCUCUAAAACGAAAACAAAACAAUAGUUCUGCACAAGUGUAUCAUGAGAUAUAGAUGGUAGUAGAACAAGUCAUCAUAUCAGGACAAAAAUAUGAAAAUGUAUGUAAUGACUUUCUAGAUAGAUAAGUUGUUUCUUUUUUAAAAUUUAAUUUUAAUUGAAAAUAAAAAUUUUAUAUAUUUGUUGUGAACAACAUGAUGUUUUGAAAUAUGUAUACAUUGUGGAAUGGCUCAAUUGCAUUAAUUAACAUAUGUGUUAU
rnacentral:lncRNA from 10 species